rnacentral:rRNA from 1 species
GACGAACGCUGGCGGCGUGCCUAAUACAUGCAAGUAGAACGCACAGUUUAUACCGUAGCUUGCUACACCAUAAACUGUGAGUUGCGAACGGGUGAGUAACGCGUAGGUAACCUGCCUGGUAGCGGGGGAUAACUAUUGGAAACGAUAGCUAAUACCGCAUAAUAUUGAUUAUUGCAUGAUAAUUGAUUGAAAGAUGCUAUUGCAUCACUACCAGAUGGACCUGCGUUGUAUUAGCUAGUAGGUGAGGUAACGGCUCACCUAGGCGACGAUACAUAGCCGACCUGAGAGGGUGAUCGGCCACACUGGGACUGAGACACGGCCCAGACUCCUACGGGAGGCAGCAGUAGGGAAUCUUCGGCAAUGGACGAAAGUCUGACCGAGCAACGCCGCGGGAGUGAAGAAGGUUUUCGGAUCGUAAAGCUCGGUUGUAAGAGAAGAACGGGUGUGAGAGUGGAAAGUUCACACUGUGACGGUAUCUUACCAGAAAGGGACGGCUAACUACGUG